AUUGAACGCUGGCGGCAGGCUUAACACAUGCAAGUCGAACGAGUGGCGGACGGGUGAGUAAUGCUUGGGAAUCUGGCUUAUGGAGGGGGAUAACUACUGGAAACUGUAGCUAAUACCGCGUACCAUAGGAUGAGCCCAAGUGGGAUUAGGUAGUUGGUGAGGUAAAGGCUCACCAAGCCGACGAUCUCUAGCUGGUCUGAGAGGAUGACCGGCGACAUUGGGACUGGGAUACGGCCCAGAGUCCUACGGGAGGCAGGAGUGGGGGAUAUUGGACAAUGGGCGAAAGCCGGAUGGAGCGACGCAGGGUGGGGGAUGAAGGCUUUCGGGUUGUAAACCUCGUUCGCUAUCGAACGGGUAGGUGGAGAAGAAGCGCCGGCUAACUACGUGCCAGCAGCCGCGGUAAUAC
rnacentral:rRNA from 1 species